rnacentral:rRNA from 1 species
UAGGGAAUCUUCGGCAAUGGGGGCAACCCUGACCGAGCAACGCCGCGUGAGUGAAGAAGGUUUUCGGAUCGUAAAGCUCUGUUGUAAGAGAAGAACGUGUGUGAGAGUGGAAAGUUCACACAGUGACGGUAACUUACCAGAAAGGGACGGCUAACUACGUGCCAGCAGCCGCGGUAAUACGUAGGUCCCGAGCGUUGUCCGGAUUUAUUGGGCGUAAAGCGAGCGCAGGCGGUUUAAUAAGUCUGAAGUUAAAGGCAGUGGCUUAACCAUUGUUCGCUUUGGAAACUGUUAAACUUGAGUGCAGAAGGGGAGAGUGGAAUUCCAUGUGUAGCGGUGAAAUGCGUAGAUAUAUGGAGGUACACCGGUGGCGAAAGCGGCUCUCUGGUCUGUAACUGACGCUGAGGCUCGAAAGCGUGGGGAGCAAACAGG